AUUGAACGCUGGCGGCAUGCCUUACACAUGCAAGUCGAACGGCAGCACGAUCUAGCUUGCUAGAUUGAUGGCGAGUGGCGCACGGGUGAGUAAUACAUCUGAACGUGCCCUGUUGUGGGGGAUAACUAGUCGAAAGUCUAGCUAAUACCGCAUACGACCUGAGGGUGAAAGUGGGGGACCGCAAGGCCUCAUGCUAUAGGAGCGGCCGAUGUCUGAUUAGCUAGUUGGUGAGGUAAAGGCUCACCAAGGCGACGAUCAGUAGCUGGUCUGAGAGGACGAUCAGCCACACUGGAACUGAGACACGGCCCAGACUCCUACGGGAGGCAGCAGUGGGGAAUAUUGGACAAUGGGCGAAAGCCUGAUCCAGCAAUGCCGCGUGUGUGAAGAAGGCCUUCGGGUUGUAAAGCACUUUUGUCCGGAAAGAAAUGGACCUGGUUAAUACCUGGGGUCGAUGACGGUACCGGAAGAAUAAGGACCGGCUAACUACGUG
rnacentral:rRNA from 1 species